rnacentral:rRNA from 1 species
AUUGAACGCUGGCGGCAGGCUUAACACAUGCAAGUCGAGCGGUAACAGGGGGAGCUUGCUCCCUGCUGACGAGCGGCGGACGGGUGAGUAAUGCAUAGGAAUCUGCCCGGUAGUUGGGGAUAGCCCGGGGAAACCCGGAUUAAUACCGAAUACGCCCUACGGGGGAAAGCAGGGGAUCUUCGGACCUUGCGCUAUCGGAUGAGCCUAUGUCGGAUUAGCUGGUUGGUGGGGUAACGGCCUACCAAGGCGACGAUCCGUAGCUGGUCUGAGAGGAUGAUCAGCCACAUCGGGACUGAGACACGGCCCGAACUCCUACGGGAGGCAGCAGUGGGGAAUAUUGGACAAUGGGGGCAACCCUGAUCCAGCCAUGCCGCGUGUGUGAAGAAGGCUUUCGGGUUGUAAAGCACUUUCAGUGAGGAGGAAAACCUGAUGGCUAAUACCCAUGAGGCUUGACGUUACCCACAGAAGAAGCACCGGCUAACUCCGUGCCAGCAGCCGCGGUAAUACGGAGGGUGCGAGCGUUAAUCGGAAUUACUGGGCGUAAAGCGCGCGUAGGUGGUUCGAUAAGCGGGAUGUGAAAGCCCCGGGCUUAACCUGGGAACGGCAUUCCGAACUGUCGGGCUAGAGUAU